rnacentral:rRNA from 1 species
UUUAACAAAAACAUGUCUUUUUGGGUAAAAUUUAAAGUCGGGCCUGCCCACUGACGAUUAGUUGAAGGGCCGCGGUAUUUUGACCGUGCAAAGGUAGCAUAAUCAUUAGUCUUUUAAUUGAGGGCUAGAAUGAAUGGUUUGACGAAAUAUUAACUGUCUCUUUGUAAUUAAUAAAAUUUAACUUUUGAGUCAAAAGGCUUAAAUGAAUAUAAAAGACGAGAAGACCCUAUAGAUCUUUAUAUAAUGAAAUGGUUGUUUUAUUCAGAAGUAUUGUUUACAAUUAUUUUGUUGUAUUUUGUUGGGGUGACAUGAAGAUAAAAAUAACUCUUUAUAAUAGGAACAUUGAUUUAUGAAUAAUUGAUCCGUUAUUAACGAUUAUAAGAUAAAGUUACCUUAGGGAUAACAGCGUAAUUUUUUUUGAGAGUUCUUAUCGACAAAAAAGAUUGCGACCUCGA